CCUACGGGGGGCUGCAGUGGGGAAUAUUGGACAAUGGGCGAAAGCCUGAUCCAGCCAUGCCGCGUGUGUGAAGAAGGCCUUCGGGUUGUAAAGCACUUUCAGUGGGGAAGAAAGCCUUGGGGCUAAUACCCUCGAGGAAGGACAUCACCCACAGAAGAAGCACCGGCUAACUCCGUGCCAGCAGCCGCGGUAAUACGGAGGGUGCGAGCGUUAAUCGGAAUUACUGGGCGUAAAGCGCGCGUAGGCGGUCUGAUAAGCCGGUUGUGAAAGCCCCGGGCUCAACCUGGGAACAGCAUCCGGAACUGUCAGGCUAGAGUGCAGGAGAGGAAGGUAGAAUUCCCGGUGUAGCGGUGAAAUGCGUAGAGAUCGGGAGGAAUACCAGUGGCGAAGGCGGCCUUCUGGACUGACACUGACGCUGAGGUGCGAAAGCGUGGGUAGCAAACAGGAUUAGAUACCCUGGUAGUC
rnacentral:rRNA from 1 species